UGAAAGAUCAUUCGGGUUUUUAGAAACCCUAUAGACCAAAAAUGGUCUUUUUUUCUGUUUGGCUUGAGAAAGCCCGUUACACCAAAAGAAAAUAUCUCAAAAAGGCUCUAAAAGCUCCAGCUCCAAUUGAAGCUUACGAUCUAUUUGAGCUUUCAUCUUUCUUAUGCAUUUUGACAAAAAUUCGAAAAGUGGUCGAUCAAAACCUCCUUCAUUCUCCAUUUCAAUCGGUGAGAGCAACUUUGCCUCCAGUGACCACUGAGAAGAAUCGACGUAGGGUGAAUCUUGGCUUUGAGCAAGUCAAGGCAAAGGGAAAUUCUCCAAGUGGUUAUUGGUUUUGGUGGCCUAUGGAUUUGAUUGUUCAAUGCAUCACAAUAGGAAAGUGAGAGACUUGUUGCUUUUUAUGCACAAGUAUUUUAAGCAUUUAUUGUAAUCUUUUAAAAUGUAUGUUUUACUUUUUGUUUUCUAUUUUGAUAGUCAAUGAGUCGGUGGUUAAUGGUUAGGAAUGAUAAUGUUUAAGAUGUGAUUUGACCCUAGGUUUGGGGUUUGACUCAACCAAGACUAUCAACUAGGUUAGGUAGAACCCUCUCAAAGGUCUUGUUGAUAAUUAGUUUUGGACAAUAUUCUUAUUGCAAUUGGCAUAAUUGAUUGCCAUAGAUCUUUCAUUAUUCUUAUCGUUGUCCAUGAAUUCAUGUCACUUGAAAUGAUACAAGUUUUCCCUUGAAAUACUAAAAAAAACUACCUCAAUUUCUUGAAAUGCAACUGAAGGAAAAUGCUCACCUUUUAAUUUAACAUGUUACUACAGUUACAGGAUUUUCCCACAAUAAUCAUUCAUAGGCCAAUUCAUAAAAUAAUAAAAUUUUAUGUUACUAGAUGUCUAGUUAAGAUGGCUUUUUGAUGAGGAUACUAGACCUUAUUUUAAUUUUGCAGAUGUGAUUCAUUGAAUGAUUAAUGAAAUUCUCUUUUCAACUUAUGAUAAUGAAUGCAUACUAACUCAUGGGCCUAUGGGGCCUUAAGGCUUAAGCCAUUAUUGAUGCUUUGAAUCUCCAAACCCAUAACAACAACUUUUAAAGGCCUUAAUUGUUACAGGCCAAUAUUUCAAAAGCUCCUUUACUUGUCAAUUUUGGCUCAUUCUCUAUAAAUUAUGUAACACAAUAGAACAACUACUGAAGGUAAACACCCAUACAUUUUGGCUUGUGUAGAGGAAUCAAAGCCUUCCACAAGAACAUCUAUGCUCCUCCUUCAGUGGUAAAGCAAACCUACUAAUUACACUACAGAAAAUCUUCAAGAACUCAACAAUUCCAUUAUGGCAUUCUAUUUCAAAGACAAAAUAGUAAAAUAUAUUGUUGACAACCUUCUGGAUGAAGGGCCUAUGAAUAAACCAAAAAUCCUAUGCAGGAUAGUUUUCAAACAAUCUCUUUUUCUUGGAUCCUUCGAAUUAAACAACUCAAGUAACCUAUUGUUUGAGCAUUAGUAACUGGCCCUUGGUUUGGUUGGCAUCAAGUUGAAUUUGCCUUUGCAGUUCCUUGAUCUAAUCUUGCUGAGUGGGGAAAUAGAAAGGAAGCUUAAAGCUGUUUUGGAAUUUAGAGGAGAAACAAAAAUGAUUUUUGAAGAGAAAGCGAGAAACAAUUAGUGUUGGGUCUCAAGCAUGUAGACAAAUGGAAUUAGUACGAGAUGAAAUCAUGUUCCAGAUAGUAGAACAUUACAACUUGAGAAUAAUUCACCCUCGGCCAAGAAACAUUAAGAGAAGGUAGGUAACACAAUUAGUGUUUUUUUUGUUAAACUUAUUGUGUUUUUAUUUGAUGAAUGUAUUAGAUUGUGUUGAACUAUUUGUUAGAAAUAAAUAUUCAUGUUAAACUAUGUGGGCUCACAUUGAUUUUUUAUUUUAUAUAAGUGAAUGUGCAAGUGGAGCCCAUAGAUGAUAACCACAUAUGUCAAUGUGUGGAUAGGAAUUACAUUGUUAUCAUGUAUAAGGAAAUGCAUGAGUGCGGUCUAUUUUAAUAUUUUGUGUAGGUAAAUGUGUAAAUGGGGUCCAUAAGUAAUAUUUGCAUGUUUGAAUGUUACUGGGUCCCGCACAUAACAUUUAACAUGUAUGUAAGAGGGAUUGAUAAGUAUGCUUGCGAAACGGUCUUUCAGUCUUUCUAGCUUUUAAAAAGAUCUUUAAAAAAUUACAACCAAAUGGUCCUUGGUCUUUAAAGAUCUACCUUUGAAAGCUCGUCAGUCUUUUAAGGUUUUGAGCUUUUGGAAGAUCUUCCUAAAAAGACUUGCCAAGCGCCUCCUAAAUUUGCACUAAUACAAGUCCAUUGAGCCAAUUCUUCUUCUUCUUCAUCAUACUAAUAUGUCAUCAAAGUAUGCAAGAAAUUUACCAAUAAAGGGUUGAAAUAUUUGAUUCAUCAAGCGGAUAAAUGUACUUGGUGCAUUUGACAAGCCAAACCACUGAUAUAAUCCAUCUUUGGUCUUAAAUGCAGUUUUCCAUUCAUAUUCUAUCUUGAUUCUAACUUAAUGAUAACUUCUCAAAUCUAUAUUGGAAAAAAAUUCGAGAACUAGUUAACAUAUCUAACAUGCCAUUUAACAUAGGAAUGAGAAUUUGUAUUAAAUGGUGAUUUUGUUGAUGAUUCUAUUAUCUACACACAUAUGCCAUGUUCCAUCAUUUUUUGGUGUUAGAAGAGUUGGCAUUGCACAUGGGUUUAUUCUUUCACGAAUCAACCUUUUUUCCAAUAACUCCACAACUUGCCUAUAUAACUCUUUAUGUUCAUUAAGCUCAUCAUAUAAGUUGCCUUGUUUGGUAAAGUUGAACUUGGGAUGAAAUCAAUAUGAUGAAUAUUCCUCAUUGGUGAUAAUCCACCUAGUAUUUCAUAAAAAAUAAUAUCAAAAUACUAUUUCAUUAAGGGCUUAAGUACUAUUGAAAUAGAACUUUCAGUAUUUUCUUAUUUUAUAACAAAAGCUUAUAUCCUUUUGGAUUUUUCCAAAAACUCACCAAUGGUAAGGAAGUUGGUACUUUCACCCUUAGUAGUCUUAGGAAUGUACUUCCUCUUGGAUGGACCUAAGAUUAUUUUGAUGCCAUCUUUUCAAUAGGUGUAAGUAUUCUUGAAUUCUUCAUAUUGAGCUUUUCAGUCAUAUUGUCAUGAUAUACCCAACAAAAGAUGAUAAACAUCAAUAGGUGCCACCCCACACCAUACGUUGUCUUGAUAAUUCUUGCCAAUAGAGGACACUAAGUAAUGUUUAACAAUAGUUACCUAAUUUCCUUUCUUGAACCAUGCCAGCUUAUAGGUAGUUGAUAUUUUCUUAGUCUUUAGGUUCAACAUAUCAACCAUUUCUUGUGAAACUACAUUUUUACAACUUUCACUAUCAAUGAUAAGGUUGCAUACCAUUUCAUGAUGUACACCUUGUAUGAAAGAAGUUGUAAUGCAACCAAUCAUUGUCUUCAACGUGUGUAGUGUCAAUUAUACACCUAGUGAAAGAGCUUCUCCUUUGUCACUCCAAGUGAUGUCAUCACCUGGAUGAUCAUUAAAAUCAUCAUGGAUAGACAUUUCAUCUUCUUUUUUUGGCUUUACAAAUUCAGCUUCCUCGACUAAAUUUAUAAACUUCUAUUUGGAUAAUCUGAUGCUAUGUGACAAAACCUAGGCACUUGAAACAUUUUAUUGCCUUGCCCUUUAGAUCACCUUGUCGACUUAAACUUGAUGCAACAUUUGUAUAUACCGGUUCACGUAGCUUUAUAUGUUGCUUUUCCCUUGAUGUAGUUGAUCAUUACUAAUGGUAGACAUUGCAAUUGACAAGUUAGACUUUUUUGCUUGUUAUUUCUCCACUUUUAUAGCCAACUUGUAAACAUCAUUAUAAGUUCAACAAGGCUGCAAAACCACUAUGUCAUGUAUCUCCUUGCAUAGUCCAUGUAUGAGGCAUGUAAUGGUAUGGUCCUUUGGUCCAAUCACUCCAUGUCACAUGGUAAAUAGAUCAAACUCUCAUGUAUAUUCAUUUAAUGGUUCUUUUACCUUGUUGCAAGUUGUAUAAUUGUGUUUACCACUUUUGAAGAUAAUUUUUAGGAAGGAAUUUCUUUCUCAAUUACAUUUUUUUCCCAUGUGAUGACUUUCUAUUUGUUUAAUCUCUCUUUAUUCAAACCCUUAAUUGCUCCCACCAAGCAAGUGCAUACUUUUUUUAAUUUGAUGGCUACAAUCUUUAUCUUUUGAUGAUAUGGAACUAGGGGUGUCAACGACAUCCAAUUAAUCGAUUUUGAAUUCAAAAUCUGAGAUAAAUCAAAUUCAGCUAAUCUGAUUAAUUUAAUGAUCAAAUUCAAAUAUUUUUCCUUACUGGUUAUUUUAUCGAAUCGAAUUCGAAUAUAUGGUGAUUCAAUUCGAUAAAUAUUCAAAUUCAAUUAUUAUAAUAUAAUAUAUAAUAUUAUAUAUAAUAAAUCACCCAUGUCUCAUAAGUUAACUUUUGCGUGUAAAGCUAUAUCCAAUUUCCGAGGUUAUAAAACUAUUGCUUUGUGUGUAAAGUUGUGUCCCCAUUCCCCAAAUGCAAUUGAUUAUUGGUCUUGACAAGACUAUUCAUUUUUCUACUUUUUCAUUUGUCGAAGCAUUCCAUCUCCAUCUAUCGUCUCCUUCCCAAGUUCCCUUUUCAAUCGUUUCUCUUCUCUUUCUUUCUAUUUGCAACUACUUUGUAAAAUAAAGUUUGAGGAAGCGAACAUGAGAACCAAAAAAUCACAAAGGGGUUUCAUAUAGCUCGAACAUCAGAUGUUUCAACUUCGACUUCUAUUGGCCUGAGUGUUAGGGUGAGGUCUUGACAAGUCUGUUGAGUUAGGCAAGGUUCAGAAUGUGGGGCUCUUACUUAAAGUCUUGAUGCUCAUAUUCACAGCCUUGCCAAUGAAUGCAUCCAUGCAUGUGUCCUCAUUUAUCAACGACACCAUGAACGUUUCCUUCACAAAAGUGCUUGCUCCACUUCAACCAUGGUGAUAGAGCUAUCAAAAAGCCAUAGAAUGAAGCUAGGGAGGUUGUGGCAAUGCAAGAUUGCGUUGAGACUAUCAGAGACUCGACCGAUGGUCUAUAGAGGUCUAUGGCAGAGAUGAGUCAUCUGGGCCUCUUGGGGGAAAAAUCAUAGGUCACAAGAAGAUAUUUUUUUUAUACAAACUAGAGAUUUGGUCAUUUGUUCUAGAUUUUUAUUGGUUUUUUAUUCUCCUUUAUUUCUUGUAAUUUGUCUAUCUUUGUCAUUCAUAUGGCAUAGCAAUACAGAAAUUGUUUCUUCCUC